UUGAGCUCCUGGCUUCAAGUAAUCCUCCACCUGGGCCUCAUGCUUGGAUUACAGGCACGAGCCACUGUGCCCAGCCGUUAUUUCCAGGAUUUUUUAAUUCUACGUGCCGCUCAGAGGCCAUGUGGGAGAAGGCCUGAAAAGUGUUCACUGGAUUCAGCAAAAAGCCCUCACUGGACCCUUCAUGGGGAGGAACCUUCCAGAAAGCCCACAGCUGACUUGCCCUGAUGACUCAUUGGCCUAAACACUCACAUCUCCUCCUUCAGCUACAAAGGAGUCUCAAAGUGAAUAUCUGGCGCUUUCCCCUCUUUAUAUUGGGAGCUGCACUAGACACCUGGUCACAAGUGUUGAGAACACAGAAGGAUUACUAUCUCGGGGGACUUUCUGCACAGGUGUGAUAAAAUAAAUGGGACAAAGGAAUUGAAGAUAUUAUCAAAAGAGCAAUUGCAGCGAUAGAACACAGAAUCGAUUGGAAGAAAGUGAUAACAGGAGAAGGUCCACAAGGAGAAAGUCAAAAGACCAAAGGAUCAGAGACACUAAAGUGGCCGAAAGAAUCAAAUAUUGACCAUGAGCGAGAGAACUGGAGGAUAAGGCUUACCAAAACAGUCUGGGUUUAUAUCAGACAUUGGUACAAUUCUGAAUGUUGACAAAGUCCAAAGUGUGAAAUGGGAAUGAGUGGCUGAAGCAGAAUGGAAAGCAAGAAUUGAGAAGUCACGGUAUUGGGAGGGUCUCAUCUAUAAA